rnacentral:lncRNA from 1 species
AUGCCAGGCGGCAAGCACCGGGUCCCCUUCGUACUGCCUGACUUCCUGAGGAAACUUAGCUGGACACCAUCUGGCUUCCCACUUCCAACUCUAGCCUGGACAUGGAAGAAAGAGGUCAAGCAGGUAAACCUUCCUUAUCCCGCCCUAUCUCUAUCCCCAAGUAAUAGUCAUAAGACUCGAGUGAGGAGUUCCCGUCGUGGCACAGUGGUUAACGAAUCCAACUAGGAACCAUGAGGUUGUGGGUUUGAUCCCUGCCCUUGCUCAGUGGGUUAAGGAUCUGGCGUUGCUGUGAGCUGUGGUGUAGGUCGCAGACGCAGCUCGGAUCCUGCGCUGCUGUGGCUCUGGCGUAGGCUGGCAGCUACAGCUCCGAUUAGACCCCUAGCCUGGGAACCUCCAUAUGCCGCGGGAGCAGCCCAAGAAAUGGCAAAAAGACAAAAAAAAAAAAAAAAAAAAAAAAAAAAAAAGACUCGAGUGAAUUGCAAAGGCUCUAGAAAAUAGUAGAUCAAGAAAAAAGAAUGCUAACAUCCUUGGAUUUAAUUAUCAUAAAAGUCUCAAAGCAGAGCUUCUUAAAAUGUUGUAUGUUAUGCCAUGUGCAUCGAAUCAUCCUAGGGUGCUUGUUAAAAAUGCAGUUCACUGGGAGUUCCCACUGUGGCACAGUGGGUUAAGGAUCUGGCAUUGUCCCUGCAGUAGCUUGGGUCACUGCAGAGGCCCAGGUUCAAUCCCCAGCCCAGUGCAGUGGGUUAAGGAUCCAGUGUUGUGGCAGCUGUGGUGUAGGUAGGUAGCAGCUGUGGCUCAGAUUUGAUCCCUGGUCCAGGAACUUCCAUAUGCUGAAGGUGUGGCAAAAAAUGCAGAUUACUGGGCUAAACUCCAGACCAACUGUCUUAGUCUGAGUUCCCCCAGAAACAGGCCCUGAGGCCAGCAUUCAAUUGCAGAAAUUUGGUUUGGUAGGUGGUCCUAGGAAACACUUGUGAGGGACAGUGAGAAAGUUAAGACAUGGAAGGGAAGGCAGCCAAUGAAAGGUAGGCUCUCACGGCCCUUACUACUGUGGACAAGAAGAGCUGCAUGCCACUGGGAACUUUGGAAACAGUAUAGUACACUCACCUCAGAAUCUCGACACUGAGGAGGAGAAGGGGUUAGGGUGUUUGGACACCAACUCCCCUCAGCCAUUGACUGAAGCUGUGCUUGAGUGGUGUUAAUUCCCUGAUACCUCUGGCCUACAGGAUCAUAGUUCUCCGGCAAAAAGAUGAAGGUGCUAGGAAUUGAGGGUGUCGGGUGGGGUGCACUGAAGUUGUCAUAAGGGUUGAAGAAUUACAGGCAGGGACCCAGCAUCAUCUGCUACACCAACUAAAUCAACAUACCUUUGUGGGGGGCCGGAAUCUACAUUUUGAUCAAGAUCUUCACACUAUAGCUGGAGAGCAUGGAGUGUUAAGAAAAUGUAGUACAAGUGGGAUUGGAUUCCUGUUUUCCCAAUGGCUUCUAUGCAUAAGACACUUCUAUUCUAUCCUCCCCCCCCACCAAAAAAAAAAAGAAAUCAAAUUUUAGUAAGCCCUCCUUUUCUUAUAAUGAAAGCAUAGAAGUUGAAUCUAUCACUCACCUUUAUAAUCCCUAGGCUGAAUUUCCAUUUUGUACCAGGGAAGCUAUUUUAGACAAACCCUGUGAACUUAAAUAGGGAAAGUGAUUCAUUGGCAUGUAAGGUCCGUUUCAUGUUGAUGUCAGGAUGGAGAAAUCAGAUGGUGCUAAAUGUUCUCUCAGGUCAAUACUUGAUGACUUCAUAGCUUUCACCAGCGUUUUUAAUGUUUCGACAUUUAGCACUCAAGUCCAGGAGCUUUUUGCCACCUCUUUGUGAAGGGGGAGGUUGUGGGGGAGGGAUGCUAUUGAAAGGUUUUUUUCAAAAGGUUAGUUAAUGCACCAGGGCAUGGAUUUCGUUACACGAUCGCAUAACACUGAGUGGCAGAACGUAUAGUGGGUAAUCUAAAAAUAAUUACUGCUCAGAUGUCGAUUAACCAAGGGUUGGCCAGCAGCCGGACUUUGAAAAUGUGAAGCUGAAGGCUAAGAGACCAGGUUCCUGGGACACUGAUCUUUGAUAAGGCUGCAGGUUGGGAGGAACUAAAAUCAAAACCCUGCUCUUACAGGUCUCACUCACUUUCCAUUCCUCUUCAUAAUCAGAAGCUGCUCCAUGCCCACAGGAACUGCACAGGGCCAAUAAAGGGCUAGCAUAGUCCUUCUCUGCUAAAGUC